rnacentral:rRNA from 1 species
UCUGAUAAGUCAGAGGUGAAAGUCGGUUGCUUAACGAUCGAAUUGCCUUGAAACUGUUUAGACUCGAGUAUGGAUGCGGUAGGCGGAAUGUGUAGUGUAGCGGUGAAAUGCAUAGAUAUUACACAGAACACCGAUUGCGAAGGCAGCUUACCAAACCGGCACUGACGCUGAAGCACGAAAGCGUGGGUAGCGAACAGGAUUAGAUACCCUGGUAGUCCACGCCGUAAACUUUGCUCACUCGCUGUUGGCGAUACACAGUCAGCGGCUAAGGGAAACCGAUAAGUGAGCCACCUGGGGAGUACGAUCGCAAGAUUGAAACUCAAAGGAAUUGACGGGGGCCCGCACAAGCGGUGGAACAUGUGGUUUAAUUCGAUGAUACGCGAGGAACCUUACCUGGGCUUAAAUGUAUAGUGCAUGAAUGUGAAAACAUUCUUUCCUUCGGGACUUUAUACAAGGUGCUGCAUGGUUGUCGUCAGCUCGUGCCGUGAGGUGUCGGGUUAAGUCCCAUAACGAGCGCAACCCCUAUUGUUAGUUACCAGCGCGUAAUGGCGGGGACUCUAGCGAAACUGCCGGUGUAAACCGCGAGGAAGGUGGGGAUGACGUCAAAUCAGCACGGCCCUUAUGUCCAGGGCUACACACGUGUUACAAUGGCCGGUACAGAGGGCAGCGGAGUAGUGAUACUUAGCGAAUCUCCAAAGCCGGUCCCAGUUCGGAUUGGAGUCUGCAACCCGACUCCAUG